UCAUGGUAUGGAUAUCUGUAUGAGAUACAAAUCUGAAGCCUUUAAAAGGUUCAAAAAAUUUAGAUAUGAAGUAGAGAAGUAAACUGAAAAGAUUAUAAAGGUACUUCGAUCAGAUCGAGGAUGUAAUAUCAUAUAGAGAAUUUCUAGAUUAUCUCAAAAAAAUGACAUAGUUUCGUGAUGGAACCCUCCUUGUACACCUAAGCUCAACAGAGUAUUUGAAAGAAGUGGUAUUAUAUG
rnacentral:lncRNA from 1 species